UAACUUGUCUUCUAUUGCUUUCCUGUGGAUUUCGUUCGCUAGAGUGGUUUUUCCGAUACCACCCAUUCCAUACACCCCUAUCAUGUUGACAUCAGGAUCCAUCAGCGCAUCCAUUACUUUCUUCAAAAUAGAUACUCUUGAAUGCAAGGCCUCGUUAUCAUAGACAGAUGGAGUCACUAUUGGCUCUAGAAGGGGACGGUAGGAAAUCCGAUCAAAUCUGCCUUCCCCCUGGAGCUCAACAACUGCUAAAGCUUCCUUCUCUGCUUUUUUGCUAAGCUGGUAGCGCUUCUUCAAAUUAGGAAUCACUCCAAAGAAACACCUCUCCUUUGCUUGUUCUUCACCGAUGACGGCUUCCUCAGCUUCUUCGAUGGCUUUGUUCACGCUAGUCAGCCACUCUUGAACAUUGUCAUUGAUCCUGUCCCCUUGCCUUGUCGCUUGAUCAACAGACUGCUGCAAACCAUCUCUUUGACUCGUCAACUUUUUGAUCUGAUUCUUGAGCUUUUCCACUUUGCUUUUGUAGUUGAAAGCAUAACUGAGGUGUCGUUUGACAGGGCCAAAAGUCCACUCAAUAACGGUUGGCACAAUGGCAAGAAUGGUUUCCAAAGCCAUUUCCUUUGUUUGGAGGUAACAGAUGCAAACAGAAAGAAAACUGGAAACAACAAAGUGCAAAAUAAAAGGAACAAAUGAGAAGGCCAGAUGAAUCUUAAUUGGCAAUAGCACAAAGCUAUUUGUCUACUUCAAAAACACAGCACGCAGAACAAAGGUAGUCAAUGUGGAUUUGAGACUCAAGACUGAGGGCAAAGAGAAGAGUGAAGGGUAUUUUACGGAUUAGUAACAGAAAAG
rnacentral:misc_RNA from 1 species